rnacentral:rRNA from 1 species
UAAACUAGGAUUAGAUACCCUAUUAUUAUAAAUGUUUAUUUUUAUACUAAAUUAUUAAUAGUUAUGUUCUUUAAAAUUAAAAAAUUUGGCGGUAUUUUAGUCUUUUCAGAGGAACCUGUCCUGUAAUUGAUAGUCCACGAUUAGGGAUACUUUAUUUAUUAAUUUACAUAUCGUCGUAGUUCGAAUAUUUUAUUAGAAUUAUAAUAUUCAAGAUUUUAUUUUAGAAAAUAUAUCAGAUCAAGGUGUAGUUUAUAAUAAAGAAGAGGUGGGUUACAAUAAAUUUAUUUUUGAAUAAAUUUUUUGAAAAAAUUUUGAAUUUGGAUUUGAAAGUAAUUUUUUGAGUUUUACUAAAAAUGAUUAUAGCUCUAAAAUAUGUACACAUCGCCCGUCGCUCUUAA